UUUUAUGGCGGCUGUGCGUGGGACACCCUCGGGUGUGCCGGGUGCCUUGAUUCCCGGUUCCUAGCCCACGUACGGCCGCCACCCGA
rnacentral:antisense_RNA from 7 species